GACGCCCUCUUCCUUGAUGUCUUUAAUCCUUGCAGCCCCAGCUGCCAUGGCUCAAGUGUUGGAAAACCCCACCCUCUUUCUGGCCUCUGAUCAAAAUCAAUAUUUCAGAGGGAAAUGCAGAACAGCAAAGGAGUUAAACAAGAGUUCAGACAAGCAUAACAAGUACUGGAAAGAUGAGAUCCUCCAAGCAGAGUGCUCUAGAAAGCACUCCCGUUAAUCUGGGUAAGGCUCUCAUCAAUUGCUCUGUGCAGGAAGAGCUAUUCUUGGACUCAUAAGGAGAUAUGCACUAAAGAACAGCCAAAGGGAGGAAAAGACAGAACUGAAGGCAUAUGUUUCAAGUGAGAUUUCAAGUGGCAAGUACGGAGUCUGCCCCCUCCCAUGAGCAAACCAGGGGAUGUGAGUACUAUGCAGUGAAUGGAAAGGACAUUGCUGCCAUCGACGGCUCUUCGUGCGAGUGCAGAAGCAGCACUGGGAGAGCUCGGCCACCCCCCUGCCCAUUCGGUGUCUGUCCUGGGUGUGGCAGGCAGAGGGUUGAGAAGAAAAUCUAUGGUUUUGGGUCCCCUUUCCAUUUGUCCCACAAAAUCAGCCAUCUCCAGGCUUGUGGUGGGUGCUGAGUGAAAGAAGAGGAGCAUGAUUUCAGCUGGAGCUGGGGGAUGCUGUUGUGGUGCAUCCUCGUAGCCCUCCCGUCUGCUCAGGCGUGCGUGCGUGUGCGUGGAGAAGGGUGGUUUUCU